ACAAGUACAGAAGAUUGCAAGUUAAGAUUCUAAUCAACAAAACAUGUUUAAGAUACAUUAAAUUAUUGUAAAAGUAUGCUGAAACGUAGCAUCUGUAAAGGAUUCAAAGAAUAGGACACAAUCAAAAGAAAGAAACGAAGACCUAUUAAUUGAAGUACUUCCGGAAAAUGAAAAAGUUUCUAAUAGAAACCCACAUAUCCUAACGAGGAAGUGGAGAUUGCCGUACAUUAUCAUAUUUUUAACGAUAUCUAAGAAACACACUUUCACGAAGUAGAACAUGAGGGUGACCCGCAGGUUUUCAGUUUUGUUAGGCAGCUCCACUGGUUUUUCUUCACUCUCGUUCCAAGCAUCGUGCAGUCACAAUGAACAUUUUCACCUUUUUGAUUCUAAGUGCCAGCAUUUGCUCUCCCGGUAAGUAUUCAUGGUCAACAAUUCAAACUUAUGGAAGUGGUGAAUUAUUUUUUUUCUUCUCUGAGAAGGAUGUUUUACUAAGAUUAUUUAUUACUUCAGGUCUGUUCUGCAAUGCCACCGCAACGACUGAAAACGCAAAAAUGAUUCGCAAACCGAUAGUGACAUCAACUCUGAAGAAUGAUGACAGUGUAACGCAAGCGACACAGGUCUGGAAGAAUUCAUUACGCCUACUACAGAAUCCAUUGAAAAUUGAAGACUUGAAAAAGAUCGCGAACACGAAGGUAGACUUAUCGAACAGGAAGAAUAGAUUUUUAGGACCUUUGGCUUUCCUAGCUGGUUUAAGUGUAGGCGGUAUACCGGGUGUACCACCAAACGUGAACACCUAUGCCAAAGCUUCACCAGCGAACUUAAAUUUCGGUGCUUCCCAACUUCCGUUCCCUUAUCAGUACUUGCCGCAUCCCUACGUCUUGGCCACCUCCUUGGGGCUUUAUCCUUUACUGAAUCCUUCGGUGAUGCAGGCGAUCAACGGUGGUCAAAACGAUUUUCAAACGUUGGCUCAGUAUCAGCAAGUGUCGAAUUUAUUAGAGAAUAAAAAACCGAACGACUUGUUGAACAACAACGACGAAUAUUCAAAGGAGUCCACGAAGGUUGAGAAUCUCGGAACUCCGAACGACGUCGAAGAGAAGGCUGCCGAGAGUGCAGAAUUGCCAGUCGAAGACAUUCGGAACGCGGAAGAGAAGGAGUCGAGCACCGUUAUCGUAUGCGACCUGCGAAAGGAAUCGAAGAAGAAGGACGAUAACUCCGUAAAGCUUGCCCCUGGAGACCUCGAAAAAGACAAUUCGCCUGAUUUUCGAGCAGGACCAAACACUAAGCCAGAAAAUGUCAUGCAAAUGAAAAAUACGACGAUUAACAACGCGACCAGUCUGCCUUUCAACGGCUACUACGGUGGAUAUCCUCAAGACGUGCACCACGUCGACUUCACCACGGAAACGAACGAGUACCACGACUACGAGCACAUUAAUUACAAUCUACCCACUUACGACAAACCCGUCAACUUUUACUCGGACGGCAGAUAUCAUUAUUACUCCAAUCCCUCCGUCGAUUCCUCACCCACGAACGACUUCCAUCAGGAGCAGAUACCCGAGUACGUAUCCAACGAUUUCAACGUUUACCCGUCCUACAAUACGCCGCCAUUUGCCAACGGUGGUUUCAGGCCUGUUACGCAGUGAUAUGAUACACAGUAACGUGCUUUUUGAAUAUGUAGAACACGUUCGCGAUAAGAACGAUUCGUUAAACUUUCUACUGAUUUAGGUUUAGGUAACAGUAAGUACGCGAAGUUCGAUUAAAUAAAUGGAAAUAUGAUUUUUCUUACUAUAUUUCUUGACUUGUUACACAUCCUUGGUUCGAUUUCUGCGUGUCGUGUGUGUGUGUUUUGUAUACGGUUGAUUGUAAAUAAUUGCGAUUGUCUCGCGUGGUGGCAACAGCGUUAUUGACUUUGGACUACCCUUGCGGAUAAUUGCUGCCUCGUCAGAUUGUUGACGGAGUUCUGAUAAGCAGGACCGUUUCGGCAAGUGUUGAAGACUGUUUAGAAAAUGUACUGUGACGGGACGAUAGUUUAUUUAUUAUUUAUUUGUUUAAUGAACACACUGGAUUCCCACGUUUCGGCGAAAAUACAUUCAAUGAUUCUCACCGAUGACGUCAAUGAUUUUUCACGGGGUACAACGGCUGUUUCGCCAUUUUCUGACACACCUAUACCAACAAACAUUCCUGCGACGUCGAAUAAACAGGAGCCAGACCAUCAGCACGAGAAAUCAUCAUUUCGUAAAGAAUACGAAACAUCAGCUUCUAACGG